AGUUCCCCGACCUCCGGCUCGCAUCCCGGGACGCUCGGCUGAAGCGCAUAGGAGUCUGGGGUAUGAUUCUUUUUGACAAAGCCACGGAGGUGUGCUGUCUGCAAGGAAAAACAGACGUGUUCCUGCCUCCCCCUGCUCGCCUGCGUUCGCAACCGAACCUGACAGCUCGGCUUCACCCGAACUUACAUACUGUUUUGUUUUCCCUGGAGCCCCAGCGGAUUGGCUAAACUCAGGAGGCGGGUCCGCCUCUUUUCUACUUGCUGGUUGGCGAAGCUGACCUCCAAGGGCGGUGCCCGGCCGCCGCCAGCUUCCUUCUGGGAUUGGCUAGAGAAGUAGUUCCGCCGAGGCGUGGUAGGAAGUGGUGGCCGUCAAUCACAAGGGGAGACUCCAAACAGUGAGCCUUGAGCUGGAGAACAGCGUUUACCGGCGGGGCGGCCGGUUUAGUGAAUGAAGCUAUGGCUACAGAUUCUCCGAGAAGACCCAGUCGUUGUACUGGUGGAGUUGUGGUUCGCCCCCAGGCUGUCACGGAGCAGUCCUACAUGGAAAGUGUCGUGACUUUUCUACAGGAUGUUGUGCCACAGGCUUACAGUGGAACACCUCUAACAGAAGAAAAGGAGAAAAUAGUCUGGGUCAGAUUUGAAAAUGCAGAUUUAAAUGAUACAUCAAGAAAUCUGGAAUUUCAUGAAAUACACAGCACUGGGAAUGAGCCGCCUCUGCUGAUUAUGAUCGGCUACAGUGACGGAAUGCAGGUCUGGAGCAUUCCGAUCAGUGGGGAAGCACAGGAACUCUUUUCUGUCCGCCAUGGCCCCAUUCGAGCCGCCAGAAUCCUGCCUGCUCCACAGUUCGGUACUCAAAAGUGUGACAACUUUGCUGAAAAAAGGCCCCUCCUUGGUGUUUGUAAGAGCACUGGAUCUUCUGGCACUAGUCCACCUUACUGUUGUGUAGAUCUAUAUUCACUUCGUACUGGGGAGAUGGUCAAGUCUAUUCAGUUUAAAACACCUAUCUAUGAUCUCCACUGCAACAAGCGGAUCCUCGUUGUAGUCUUGCAGGAGAAAAUUGCUGCCUUUGAUAGCUGUACUUUCACAAAAAAAUUUUUUGUCACAAGCUGCUAUCCGUGUCCAGGGCCCAACAUGAAUCCUAUUGCUCUUGGGAGCCGCUGGCUUGCUUAUGCAGAAAACAAGUUGAUUCGAUGCCAUCAGUCCCGUGGUGGAGCCUGUGGAGACAACAUUCAGUCUUACACUGCCACGGUCAUUAGUGCUGCUAAAACAUUGAAAACUGGUCUGACAAUGGUCGGAAAAGUGGUGACUCAGCUGACAGGCACACUGCCUUCAGGUGUAACAGAAGAUGAUGUUGCCCUCCAUAGUAACUCAAGACGGAGUCCUUUGGUUCCAGGCAUCAUCACAGUAAUUGACACUGAAACAGUUGGAGAGGGCCAGGUCCUUGUGAGCGAGGAUUCUGACAGUGAUGGUAUUGUGGCCCACUUCCCUGCUCAUGAAAAACCAGUGUGCUGUAUGGCGUUUAAUACAAGUGGAAUGCUUCUAGUCACAACAGACACCCUUGGCCAUGACUUUCACGUUUUCCAAAUUCUGACUCAUCCUUGGUCUUCAUCACAAAGUGCUGUCCAUCAUCUAUAUACUCUUCACAGGGGAGAAACUGAAGCCAAAGUACAGGACAUCUGCUUCAGCCACGACUGUCGCUGGGUCGUGGUCAGUACACUCCGGGGGACUUCCCACGUUUUCCCCAUCAACCCAUACGGUGGCCAGCCUUGUGUUCGAACACACAUGUCACCACGAGUUGUGAAUCGUAUGAGCCGCUUCCAGAAAAGUGCGGGGCUGGAAGAAAUUGAGCAAGAACUGACGUCUAAGCAAGGAGGGCGCUGUAGCCCUGUUCCUGGUCUAUCAAGCAGCCCUUCCGGGUCACCACUGCACGGGAAACUAAACAGCCAAGAUUCCUACAAUAAUUUUGCCAACAACAACCCUGGCAACCCUCGGCUCUCUCCUCUCCCCAGCUUGAUGGUACUGAUGCCUCUUGCACAAAUCAAGCAGCCAAUGACAUUGGGGACCAUCACCAAACGAACAGGGCCUUAUCUGUUUGGAGCGGGGUGUUUUUCCAUAAAAGCUCCAUGCAAAGUUAAACCACCUCCACAAAUUUCACCCAGCAAAUCGAUGGGCGGAGAAUUUUGUGUGGCUGCAAUGUUUGGGACAUCCAGAUCAUGGUUUGCAAAUAAUGCAGGUCUGAAAAGAGAAAAAGAUCAGUCCAAACAAGUUGUAGUUGAAUCUCUCUACAUUAUUAGCUGCUAUGGGACCUUAGUGGAGCACAUGAUGGAGCCGCGACCCCUCAGCACUGCCCCCAAGAUUAGUGAUGACACCCCACUGGAAGUGAUGACAUCACCUCGAGCCAGCUGGACUCUGGUUAGAACUCCUCAAUGGAAUGAAUUGCAACCACCAUUUAAUGCAAACCACCCUCUGCUCCUCGCUGCAGAUGCAGUCCAGUAUUAUCAGUUCCUGCUUGCUGGCUUGGUUCCCCCUGGAAGUCCAGGGCCCAUUACUCGGCAUGGGUCCUAUGACAGUUUAGCUUCUGACCAUAGUGGACAGGAAGAUGAAGAAUGGCUUUCUCAGGUAGAAAUUGUAACACACACUGGACCCCACAGGCGUCUGUGGAUGGGUCCACAGUUCCAGUUCAAAACCAUCCAUCCCUCAGGCCAGACCACAGUCAUAUCAUCCAGCUCAUCUGUGUUGCAGUCUCACGGUCCAAGUGAUACUCCACAGCCCCUUUUGGAUUUUGAUACAGAUGAUCUUGAUCUCAACAGUCUCAGGAUCCAGCCGGUCCGCUCUGACCCAGUCAGCAUGCCAGGGUCAUCCCGUCCAGUCUCUGAUCGAAGGGGAAUUUCCACCGUGAUUGAUGCUGCCUCAGCCUAUUUUCAUUCCAGAAAGCCAUAGUUCCUUUCUGAGACAGAGCAAUGAAAUGUGUGUGCUGCUUUCUCGAACUUUGAGCUAAAGAAACCCCAUAGAUGAGGAAUUGGACUGUUAUGAAUAAUCCUCUACUUCUCAGAUGGUUUGGAUCCCUUUUGUUCAACGCAUUUUUUAAGAUGUUAGAAGAUGAAAUUCAAGUUAACAAUGUGGAAAAUUUUAGCUCAGCACAAUUAAGAAAAAAAAAAUGAUUGCCCCACUUAAAGAUGAAGAAACUGUAAACAGAAGUAGAAGAAGCUGUUGGGAAAGCUUUCUUCUGAUGACACAUUGCUUCUUUGAAUAAAUCUUUGUGUCAACUAAAACCUCGCCUUUGCUUUCUCUCUUGCAAGCACCGAGUCCUUGACAUGACUUUAAGUCUUUCCUAAGCAUUUUGAGAAGGAAUUGAUGGAAUUCUCCCUACUGUUGAUAUACUGGGGUACCACAUAUUUACAAGGGGUUUUUUAGCCCAAAGACCCAACUUUUCUUUUUUGUUCCUUUAUUACUACACCUUUAAUACAAGGCUGGACUGUUUAUGUAGUCUGUUGCCUGAGACCGUGGUGGCAGAGGGACAAUAUUGGGGGCAGUAUUAGAAUUUGUUUAAGUCUGAACCGGGAAUUCCAUUUGUCUUAGUGACAUUAGUGUCAAACUGUUAGUGCCACACUAUUUUAAAUUGUGUCCAAGAGCCUGAGAGGCUUAUACUUAUAGGUGCCAUCUAUAAACUUAGAGGGAAACAAAAGAGUCUCUCUCCAUUGAAUAUGUAAGCCCAGUGAGCAAUUAAAAAGCAGCUUGGGACCUCACCCAGGCAACUACUCGGAACCAGAGCUCAUGAUAGUUCCCUGGAUAUUGUUGAAAACUGUCAGAGAAAAGCUAAAGCAAAUAAUUGAAGCGAAAAUAAUUGUUCCCGGGAAAAGUCUUGUUUUGGAAGAUUUGGUGUAGUAGAAAGAAUAGAGACAAGUAGCUUACAAAUCUUUGGUUCUAGUCUCAACUCUGCCUAUAAUUACCUGUUUGGUAAAUUGCUUCGAAACCCAAGGCUUUCUUCCAUAAAUGAGAGAAUUGAGGUAGAUUAUUUCCAAAGCCCCUUCCAGCUUGAAAAAUGGAUCAACGUGUACUUUGGAUCACCUUUGAAGAAUUUUUAAAAAUUUGGAUAUAAUUUGCAUAUAGCAGAAAUGUACAUAUCUUAAUCAUACAACUUGAUGAAUUUUAUGUAUAUCACUACUCAGAACAAAUUAGAAUAUUUCCAUCAUCUUAGAAAGUUCCCUCAUGCCCCUUCCAGUCAAUAUACUACCUUUGACUUAGAGAUUACCACUAUGGUUUUUAUCAUCAUAAAUCACUUUUGUCUAUAUUGAACUUCAUGUAAAUGAAAUUAUCCUACAGUUACUCUUUUGUGUCUGGCUUCUUUUACUUAAUAUUUUUGAAAUUCAUCCAUAUGAUGCAUGUGUCACUUGUCCAUUUUUUUUAUGUUGCAAUAUAGUAUAAAUAUAAUGCAGUUUAUGUAUCCAUUGUCCUCUUGUUUUCAGCUAUUAGCUUUUUAUGAAUAAAGCUGCUAUAAACUUU